rnacentral:rRNA from 1 species
UACGGGGGGGGCAAGCGUUGUUCGGAAUUACUGGGCGUAAAGGGCUCGUAGGUGGCCAACUAAGUCAACCGUGAAAUCCCUCGGCUUAACCGGGGAACUGCGUUUGAUACUGGAUGGCUUGAGUUUGGGAGAGGGAUGCGGAAUUCCAGGUGUAGCGGUGAAAUGCGUAGAUAUCUGGAGGAACACCGGUGGCGAAGGCGGCAUCCUGGACCGACACUGACACUGAGGAGCGAAAGCCAGGGGAGCAAACGGG